rnacentral:rRNA from 1 species
UACGUNCCAGCAGCCGCGGUAAUACGUAGGUCCCGAGCGUUGUCCGGAUUUAUUGGGCGUAAAGGGAGCGCAGGCGNUCAGGAAAGUCUGGAGUAAAAGGCUAUGGNUCAACCAUAGUGUGCUCUGGAAACUGUCUGACUUGAGUGCAGAAGGGGAGAGUGGAAUUCCAUGUGUAGCGGUGAAAUGCGUAGAUAUAUGGAGGAACACCAGUGGCGAAAGCGGCUCUCUGGUCUGUCACUGACGCUGAGGCUCGAAAGCGUGGGUAGCGAACAGGAUUAGAUACCCUGGUAGUCCACGCCGUAAACGAUGAGUGCUAGGUGUUAGGCCCUUUCCGGGGCUUAGUGCCGGAGCUAACGCAAUAAGCACUCCGCCUGGGGAGUACGACCGCAAGGUUGAAACUCAAAGGAAUUGACGGGGGCCCGCACAAGCGGUGGAGCAUGUGGUUUAAUUCGAAGCAACGCGAAGAACCUUACCAGGUCUUGACAUCCCGAUGCUAUUCUUAGAGAUAGGAAGUUACUUCGGUACAUCGGAGACAGGUGGUGCAUGGUUGUCGUCAGCUCGUGUCGUGAGAUGUUGGGUUAAGUCCCGCAACGAGCGCAACCCUUAUUGUUAGUUGCCAUCAUUAAGUUGGGCACUCUAGCGAGACUGCCGGUAAUAAACCGGAGGAAGGUGGGGAUGACGUCAAAUCAUCAUGCCCCUUAUGACCUGGGCUACACACGUGCUACAAUGGUCGGUACAACGAGUUGCGAGCCGGUGACGGCAAGCUAAUCUCUGAAAGCCGAUCUCAGUUCGGAUUGGAGGCUGCAACUCGCCUCCAUGAAGUCGGAAUCGCUAGUAAUCGCGGAUCAGCACGCCGCGGUGAAUACGUUCCCGGGCCUUGUACACACCGCCCGUCACACCACGAGAGUUUGUAACACCCGAAGUCGGUGAGGUAACCUUUUAGGGGCC